AACGAACGCUGGCGGCAGGCUUAACACAUGCAAGUCGAGCGGGGUGAUGGUGCUUGCACUAUCACUUAGCGGCGGACGGGUGAGUAAUGCUUAGGAAUCUGCCUAUUAGUGGGGGACGACAUCUCGAAAGGGAUGCUAAUACCGCAUACGUCCUACGGGAGAAAGCAGGGGAUCACUUGUGACCUUGCGCUAAUAGAUGAGCCUAAGUCGGAUUAGCUAGUUGGUGGGGUAGAGGCCUACCAAGGCGACGAUCUGCAGCGGGUCUGAGAGGAUGAUCCGCCACACUGGGACUGAGACACGGCCCAGACUCCUACGGGAGGCAGCAGUGGGGAAUAUUGGACAAUGGGGGGAACCCUGAUCCAGCCAUGCCGCGUGUGUGAAGAAGGCCUUAUGGUUGUAAAGCACUUUAAGCGAGGAGGAGGCUCUUUUGGUUAAUACCCAAGAUGAGUGGACGUUACUCGCAGAAUAAGCACCGGCUAACUCUGUGCCAGCAGCCGCCGUAA
rnacentral:rRNA from 1 species